ensembl:lncRNA
CCUCUCUCGGACUUAGCCACGCCCUUCAUUAGAUCCUGAGGGGAUUUUUCAGAACAGAGGUUAUGGCAGUUUCACCAUCCAAUUCCAUUUUUAGCAGGUGUGCUUCCUGGCCAAAGGAGUCAGAUGAGUGCAUGAGCAGCCCCUUCGAGGACAAGGCUUGGAUUCCCAGGAGCAGACAAGGAACUCUGUGGGCAUACUCCAAGGAAACUGGUCAAAGAUCCUGACUCGUGCAUCAAUUGAAGUUUUUCAAGACCUCCACUGUAGCAGCAUAUCCACUGUCCCAGCUGCUACUCCACUGUCAAGGGACCUGAAAUGUCUUAGGAACUCCACUGUUACAGGACCUCAACUGAUGAAGCACCUCAACUGUCACAGUACCUCCACUCUUGCAGUACCUCCAAAAACUCAGCCACUCCACUGUCACAAGUCUUCCAAUUUGAAGGAACUCGACUGUUGCAGCACCUCCACAGUUGUCGAAGCACCAUUGAUAUGGCACUUCCCCUGUCCUGGGAC